rnacentral:rRNA from 1 species
GAUGAACGCUGGCGGCGUGCCUAAUACAUGCAAGUCGAGCGAAUGGAUUAAGAGCUUGCUCUUAUGAAGUUAGCGGCGGACGGGUGAGUAACACGUGGGUAACCUGCCCAUAAGACUGGGAUAACUCCGGGAAACCGGGGCUAAUACCGGAUAACAUUUUGAACCGCAUGGUUCGAAAUUGAAAGGCGGCUUCGGCUGUCACUUAUGAAUGGACCCGCGUCGCAUUAGCUAGUUGGGGGGGUAACGGCUAACCAAGGCAACGAUGCGUAGCCCACCGGAGGGGGUGAUCGGCCACACGGGGACUGAGACAGGGCCCAGACUCCUACGGGAGGCAGCAGUAGGGAAUCUUCCGAAAUGGACGAAAGUCUGACGGAGCAACGCCGCGUGAGUGAUGAAGGCUUUCGGGUCGUAAAACUCUGUUGUUAGGGAAGAACAAGUGCUAGUUGAAUAAGCUGGCACCUUGACGGUACCUAACCAGAAAGCCACGGCUAACUACGUGCCAGCCGCCGCUGUAA